rnacentral:tRNA from 1 species
AGGGGAAUAGUUCAAGUGGGAGAGCGCGGGACUCCAAAUCCCGGUCUGCUGCGGGUUCAAAUCCCGCUUCCCCUG